rnacentral:rRNA from 1 species
GGACGAACGCUGGCGGCGUGCUUAACACAUGCAAGUCGAACGGAAAGGCCCUGCUUUUGUGGGGUGCUCGAGUGGCGAACGGGUGAGUAACACGUGAGUAACCUGCCCUUGACUUUGGGGUAACUUCAGGAAACUGGGGCUAAUACCGGAUAGGAGCUCCUGCUGCAUGGUGGGGGUUGGAAAGUUUCGGCGGUUGGGGAUGGACUCGCGGCUUAUCAGCUUGUUGGUGGGGUAGUGGCUUACCAAGGCUUUGACGGGUAGCCGGCCUGAGAGGGUGACCGGCCACAUUGGGACUGAGAUACGGCCCAGACUCCUACGGGAGGCAGCAGUGGGGAAUAUUGCACAAUGGGCGGAAGCCUGAUGCAGCAACGCCGCGUGCGGGAUGACGGCCUUCGGGUUGUAAACCGCUUUCGCCUGUGACGAAGCGUGAGUGACGGUAAUGGGUAAAGAAGCACCGGCUAACUACGUG